rnacentral:rRNA from 1 species
AUUGAACGCUGGCGGCAUGCUUUACACAUGCAAGUCGAACGGUAACAGGCCGCAAGGUGCUGACGAGUGGCGAACGGGUGAGUAAUGCAUCGGAACGUGCCCAGUCGUGGGGGAUAACGCAGCGAAAGCUGUGCUAAUACCGCAUACGAUCUACGGAUGAAAGCGGGGGACCGUAAGGCCUCGCGCGAUUGGAGCGGCCGAUGUCAGAUUAGGUAGUUGGUGGGGUAAAGGCCCACCAGGCCAACGAUCUGUAGCUGGUCUGAGAGGACGACCAGCCACACUGGGACUGAGACACGGCCCAGACUCCUACGGGAGGCAGCAGUGGGGAAUUUUGGACAAUGGGCGCAAGCCUGAUCCAGCAAUGCCGCGUGCAGGAAGAAGGCCUUCGGGUUGUAAACUGCUUUUGUACGGAACGAAACGGUCUGGGUUAAUACCCUGGGCUAAUGACGGUACCGUAAGAAUAAGCACCGGCUAACUACGUGCCAGCAGCCGCCGUAACAC